rnacentral:rRNA from 1 species
AGAGUUUGAUCAUGGCUCAGAUUGAACGCUGGCGGCAGGCCUAACAUAUGCAAGUCGAACGGUAACAGGAAGAAGCUUGCUUCCUUGCUGACGAGUGGCGGACGGGUGAGUAAUGUCUGGGAAACUGCCUGAUGGAGGGGGAUAACUACUGGAAACGGUAGCUAAUACCGCAUAACGUCGCAAGACCAAAGAGGGGGACCUUCGGGCCUCUUGCCAUCGGAUGUGCCCAGAUGGGAUUAGCUAGUAGGUGGGGUAACGGCUCACCUAGGCGACGAUCCCUAGCUGGUCUGAGAGGGUGACCAGCCACACUGGAACUGAGACACGGUCCAGACUCCUACGGGAGGCAGCAGUGGGGAAUAUUGCACAAUGGGCGCAAGCCUGAUGCAGCCAUGCCGCGUGUAUGAAGAAGGCCUUCGGGUUGUAAAGUACUUUCAGCGGGGAGGAAGGGAGUAAAGUUAAUACCUUUGCUCAUUGACGUUACCCGCAGAAGAAGCACCGGCUAACUCCGUGCCAGCAGCCGCGGUAAUACGGAGGGUGCGAGCGUUAAUCGGAAUUACUGGGCGUAAAGCGCACGCAGGCGGUUUGUUAAGUCAGAUGUGAAAUCCCCGGGCUCAACCUGGGAACUGCAUCUGAUACUGGCAAGCUUGAGUCUCGUAGAGGGGGGUAGAAUUCCAGGUGUAGCGGUGAAAUGCGUAGAGAUCUGGAGGAAUACCGGUGGCGAAGGCGGCCCCCUGGACGAAGACUGACGCUCAGGUGCGAAAGCGUGGGGAGCAAACAGGAUUAGAUACCCUGGUAGUCCACGCCGUAAACGAUGUCGACUUGGAGGUUGUGCCCUUGAGGCGUGGCUUCCGGAGCUAACGCGUUAAGUCGACCGCCUGGGGAGUACGGCCGCAAGGUUAAAACUCAAAUGAAUUGACGGGGGCCCGCACAAGCGGUGGAGCAUGUGGUUUAAUUCGAUGCAACGCGAAGAACCUUACCUGGUCUUGACAUCCACGGAAGUUUUCAGAGAUGAGAAUGUGCCUUCGGGAACCGUGAGACAGGUGCUGCAUGGCUGUCGUCAGCUCGUGUUGUGAAAUGUUGGGUUAAGUCCCGCAACGAGCGCAACCCUUAUCCUUUGUUGCCAGCGGUCCGGCCGGGAACUCAAAGGAGACUGCCAGUGAUAAACUGGAGGAAGGUGGGGAUGACGUCAAGUCAUCAUGGCCCCUUACGACCAGGGCUACACACGUGCUACAAUGGCGCAUACAAAGAGAAGCGACCUCGCGAGAGCAAGCGGACCUCAUAAAGUGCGUCGUAGUCCGGAUUGGAGUCUGCAACUCGACUCCAUGAAGUCGGAAUCGCUAGUAAUCGUGGAUCAGAAUGCCACGGUGAAUACGUUCCCGGGCCUUGUACACACCGCCCGUCACACCAUGGGAGUGGGUUGCAAAAGAAGUAGGUAGCUUAACCUUCGGGAGGGCGCUUACCACUUUGUGAUUCAUGACUGGGGUGAAGUCGUAACAAGGUAACCGUAGGGGAACCUGCGGUUG